rnacentral:rRNA from 1 species
UACGGAGGGUGCGAGCGUUGUCCGGAAUCACUGGGCUUAAAGCGCGUGUAGGCGGGCCGGCACGUCCGACGCUGAAAUCCCCCGGCUCAACCGGGGAACGGGCUCGGAUACGACCGGCCUCGAGGGACGUAGGGGGACCUGGAACUUCCGGUGGAGCGGUGAAAUGCGUUGAGAUCGGAAGGAACGCCCGUGGCGAAAGCGAGGUCCUGGACGUUUUCUGACGCUGAGACGCGAAAGCCAGGGGAGCGAACGGG